AAGAAUCCCAUCAAUCAUGAUAAGACAAUUGAUCUAAAAACAAUUGAUGCAAAAAAGGAUUGGUUUGAUACAAUCAUCGACCAAAGCAAGUGGCUACUAGACACGCAUCUUGACGUUGCAUUCGAGUUCAUUCGUAAAAGAAUGUCUGAGAAUACUGAUAUUUUCAGACAAAAAUGUGCGAUUAUGGAUACACCUUUUCAUACAUAUCUCAACAUCCGUUACAAAUUGCACGAAGAGAACAAUGAGCCUUCACAUUGGGACCGUGAUGAUCUUCUACUGCAUUUUGUUGACGGAUCUAAGGAAAAUAUGGUCUCUUGGUCCAAUUUGGAUAGGGUUUAUUUCCCAAUUAAUAUAACUGCUGAUCAUU